rnacentral:rRNA from 1 species
GAUGAACGCUGGCGGCGUGCCUAACACAUGCAAGUCGAGCGGACGGACGAUAAGCUUUCUUCUCUGAUGUUAGCGGCGGACGGGUGAGUAACACGUGGAUAACCUACCUAUAAGACUGGGAUAACUUCGUGAAACCGGAGCUAAUACCGGGUAAUAUUUUGAACCUCAUGGUUCAACAGUGCAUGACGGUCUUGCUGUCACUUAUAGAUGGAUCCGCGCUGCAUUAGCUAGUUGGUAAGGUAACGGCUUACCAAGGCGACGAUGCAUAGCCGACCUGAGAGGAUGAUCAGCCACACUGGAACUGAGACACGGUCCAGACUCCUACGGGAGGCAGCAGUAGGGAAUAUUGGGCAAUGGGCGAAAGCCUGACCGAGCAACGCCGCGUGAGUGAAGAAGGUCUUCGGAUCGUAAAACUCUGUUAUUAGGGAAGAACAUAUGUGUAAGAAAAUGUGGACAUCUUGACGGUACCUAAAGAAAAAGCAACGGCUAACUACGUG